rfam:Stereum hirsutum FP-91666 SS1 unplaced genomic scaffold STEHIscaffold_29, whole genome shotgun sequence.
GCCGUUGUGGCGCAAUGGUAGCGCAUCACCUUCCUAUUGACAUUUCGGAGAGGAUCAGGUGGGGGUUGUGGGUUCGAUCCCCAUCAGCGGUA